CCUACGGGAGACAGCAGUGGGGAAUAUUGCACAAUGGGGGAAACCCUGAUGCAGCGACGCCGCGUGAAGGAAGAAGUAUUUCGGUAUGUAAACUUCUAUCAGCAGGGAAGAAAAUGACGGAACCUGACUAAGAAGCCCCUGCUAACUACGUGCCAGCAGCCGCGGUAAUACGUAGGGGGCAAGCGUUAUCCGGAUUUACUGGGUGUAAAGGGAGCGUAGGCGGUUUAGCAAGUCAGAAGUGAAAGCCCGGGGCUCAACGCCGGGACUGCUUUUGAAACUGUUGAACUGGAGUGCAGGAGAGGUAAGUGGAAUUCCUAGUGUAGCGGUGAAAUGCGUAGAUAUUAGGAGGAACACCAGUGGCGAAGGCGGCUUACUGGACUGUAAAUGACGCUGAGGCUCGAAAGCGUGGGGAGCAAACAGGAUUAGAUACCCCUGUAGUC
rnacentral:rRNA from 1 species